rnacentral:hammerhead_ribozyme from 1 species
AUCCAGCUGACGAGUCUCAAAUAGGAGGAAACGUAGUCCUAGAU